rnacentral:rRNA from 1 species
GCUUGUCUCAAAGAUUAAGCCAUGCAUGUCUAAGUAUAAGCGUUAUACUGUGAAACUGCGAAUGGCUCAUUAAAUCAGCAAUAGUUUCUUUGGUGGUGUUUACUACUCGGAUAACCGUAGUAAUUCUAGAGCUAAUACGUGCGUAAAUCCCGACUUCGGAAGGGACGUAUUUAUUAGAUAAAGACCGGCCUCGUUCUACGGUGAAUCAUGAUAACUAUACGGAUCGCAUGGCCUCGCGCCGGCGAUGAAUCAUUCAAGUUUCUGCCCUAUCAGCUGUCGAUGGUAGGGUCUUGGCCUACCAUGGCGUUAACGGGUGACGGAGAAUUAGGGUUCGGUUCCGGAGAGGGAGCCUGAGAAAUGGCUACCACAUCCAAGGAAGGCAGCAGG